AGAUUGAACGCUGGCGGCAGGCCUAACACAUGCAAGUCGAGCGCGAAAGUUCCUUCGGGAAUGAGUAGAGCGGCGGACGGGUGAGUAACGCGUAGGAAUUUGCCCAGUAGUGGGGGACAACUCGGGGAAACUCGAGCUAAUACCGCAUACGCCCCAAGGGGGAAAGCAGGGGAUCUUCGGACCUUGCGCUAUUGGAUAAGCCUGCGUCGGAUUAGCUAGUUGGUGGGGUAAGGCCUACCAAGGCAACGAUCCGUAGCUGGUCUGAGAGGAUGAUCAGCCACACUGGGACUGAGACACGGCCCAGACUCCGUACGGGAGCAGCAGGUGGGAAUAGUUGGACAAGUCGGGGGCAACCCGUGAUCCAGCCAUGGCCGCGUGUGUAGAAGGAAGGUCCGUUAGGGUGUAAAGCUACUUUCGAGGUGGGAAGGAAAGCGUAGGCGACUAAGUACGUCCGGUACCGG
rnacentral:rRNA from 1 species